AGAGUUUGAUCCUGGCUCAGGACGAACGCUGGCGGUGUGCUUCACACAUGCAAGUCGAACGGAGUAGCAAUACUCAGUGGCGGACGGGUGAGUAACACGUGGGAAUCUACCAUUAGGUGGGGAAUAACAGGCCGAAAGGACUGCUAAUGCCGCAUAUGUAGGCAUCUCGACAGAGAUGUUUAUGAAAGGAGUAAUCCGCCUUUUGAUGAGCCCGCGUCCGAUUAGCUAGUUGGUAGGGUAAAAGCCUACCAAGGCGACGAUCGGUAGGUGGUCUGAGAGGAUGAUCACCCACAAUGGGACUGAGACACGGCCCAUACUCCUACGGGAGGCAGCAGUGGGGAAUUUUACGCAAUGGGGGAAACCCUGACGUAGCGACACCGCGUGAGCGAAGAAGCCCUUUGGGGUGUAAAGCUCUGUCAACAGGAACGAAACAAAUGACGGUACCUGUGGAGGAAGCAUCGGCUAACUACGUGCCAGCAGCCGCGGUAAGACGUAGGAUGCAAGCGUUGGCCGGAUUUAUUGGGCGUAAAGAGUUCGUAGGCGGUUUGUUAAGUCUGAUGUUAAAGACCGGGGCUCAACCUCGGAAAUGCAUUGGAUACUGGCAGACUGGAGUGCAGUAGAGGCUAGUGGAAUUCCCAGUGUAGCGGUGAAAUGCGUAGA
rnacentral:rRNA from 1 species